rnacentral:rRNA from 1 species
CGGUCACGUUCGUUGCAUUCAAUUAGUACUUCAAUUAAGUUAUAUACCGAAUUCAAACUAGUGAACUCAAAGUAUAAGUUUAAAAGGUACAUAUUUUCUGAAACGCAAUUAAGCAGACAGAUCACUCCACGAACUAAAGACGGCCAUGCACCACCUAUCACAUAAUCAUGAAAGGACUAUCAUAUUUGCCUUUAAAAUACUUUAAAAAAGUAAAUUAAAUUAUCACCUGUCAAUCCUUAGUGUGUUCGGACCUGGUAAGGUAUCGCGCGUUGGGUCAAAUUAAGCCACACGCUCCAC